UGCAGAAUCCCGUGAACCAUCGAGUCUUUGAACGCAAGUUGCGCCCGAAGCCAUUAGGCUGAGGGCACGUCUGCCUGGGUGUCA
rnacentral:rRNA from 11 species